UAGUGGCGAACGGGUGAGUAACACGUGGGCAAUCUGCCCUUCACUCUGGGACAAGCCCUGGAAACGGGGUCUAAUACCGGAUAACACUCUGUCCCGCAUGGGACGGGGUUAAAAGCUCCGGCGGUGAAGGAUGAGCCCGCGGCCUAUCAGCUUGUUGGUGGGGUGAUGGCCUACCAAGGCGACGACGGGUAGCCGGCCUGAGAGGGCGACCGGCCACACUGGGACUGAGACACGGCCCAGACUCCUACGGGAGGCAGCAGUGGGGAAUAUUGCACAAUGGGCGAAAGCCUGAUGCAGCGACGCCGCGUGAGGGAUGACGGCCUUCGGGUUGUAAACCUCUUUCAGCAGGGAAGAAGCGAGAGUGACGGUACCUGCAGAAGAAGCGCCGGCUAACUACGUGCCAGCAGCCGCGGUAAUACGUAGGGCGCAAGCGUUGUCCGGAAUUAUUGGGCGUAAAGAGCUCGUAGGCGGCUUGUUGCGUCGGUUGUGAAAGCCCGGGGCUUAACCCCGGGUCUGCAGUCGAUACGGGCAGGCUAGAGUGUGGUAGGGGAGAUCGGAAUUCCU
rnacentral:rRNA from 4 species